UACGGGGGGGGCAAGCGUUGUUCGGAAUUACUGGGCGUAAAGGGCUCGUAGGUGGCCAACUAAGUCAGACGUGAAAUCCCUCGGCUCAACCGGGGAACUGCGUCUGAUACUGGAUGGCUUGAAUCCGGGAGAGGGAUGCGGAAUUCCAGGUGUAGCGGUGAAAUGCGUAGAUAUCUGGAGGAACACCGGUGGCGAAGGCGGCAUCCUGGACCGGUAUUGACACUGAGGAGCGAAAGCCAGGGGAGCAAACGGG
rnacentral:rRNA from 1 species